rnacentral:rRNA from 1 species
UGGCGGUAUGCUUAACACAUGCAAGUCGAACGGUAGCAGGCCUUCGGGCGCUGACGAGUGGCGGACGGGUGAGUAACGCGUAGGAAUCUGCCUCAUAGUGGGGGACAACGUGGGGAAACUCACGCUAAUACCGCAUACGCCCUACGGGGGAAAGCGGGGGAUCUUCGGACCUCGCGCUAUGAGAUGAGCCUGCGUUAGAUUAGCUAGUUGGUGGGGUAAAGGCCUACCAAGGCGACGAUCUAUAGCUGGUCUGAGAGGACGAUCAGCCACACUGGGACUGAGACACGGCCCAGACUCCUACGGGAGGCAGCAGUGGGGAAUAUUGGACAAUGGGCGAAAGCCUGAUCCAGCAAUACCGCGUGUGUGAAGAAGGCCUUAGGGUUGUAAAGCACUUUCAAUUGGGAGGAAAACCUGUCGGUCAAUACCCGGCAGCUUGACAUUACCUUUAGAAGAAGCACCGGCUAACUCCGUGCCAGCAGCCGCGGUAAUACGGAGGGUGCGAGCGUUAAUCGGAAUUACUGGGCGUAAAGCGUGCGUAGGCGGUUCGUUAAGUCAGAUGUGAAAGCCCUGGGCUCAACCUGGGAACUGCAUUUGAAACUGGCGGACUAGAGUUUAGUAGANGGGAGUGGAAUUUCAGGUGUACGGGUGAAAAUGCGUAANAUAUNUGAAGGAACACCAGNGGGCGAAAGGNGANUUCCUGGGACUAAAAACUGGACNCUUGNGGUACCAAAGCGUGGGUAGCAAACAGGGAUUANAUACCCUGGUAGUCCACGCCGUAAACNAUNUUCNANUAAGCCCGUUGGNCCUAUUUACAGGAUUANUGG